UGGGAACCUCCAUGUGCCAUGGGUGCUGCCCUAAAAAGGGAAAAAAUAAAUAAAUAAAUAAAUAAGGAAAGGACUGUUCAUCUUCAUGGCAGGAUCAUGAAAUCCAAGGCCACUCACUCACUCGAAUUUCUGAGGCUGGAAAGCAGAUGUCACAGGCUGAGGGCCAGAGAGAUUUGAGUAUGAAAAUAUAAGCUUCUAAACUCACACAGAUGUGCUUUUCUCCAAAAGCCUCUGAACAUGCCAGAGCGGAUCAGAGGGUUUUUUUUUUUUUUUUUAAACUCGAUUCUCUUCUAUCUAUCCUGUCCUGCUGCUGCUUGGUGCUACUCAUGAAUAUGAGGCAGGUUGGAAAGCGUGCUGUUCCCGGCCAGGGGCAGGGAAGAGGUAGCACACACACAGGUGUUAGUGAAGAGCUGUGGCCCUACGAGACGUCUGGAAUCUGGAAAUAUCACAGGAAAGCUGGGUUUGACAUCGAGUCCUUGUGUCCCGGAUGUUGAAGAGCUGCGCAUGCUCCGGUUUGCAAGGGGACAAGGGGCUGUGGCUGCGCGCAGCAGGGAUCAGCCGGCCCUCCCGAGGGCACACCUGGCCGAAGCCCCAUCCGACCCUCAAGAAAGGUCUUUUGUAAAAGGUGAAUCAGGCUAUCUGACGUAAUGCAUAACAAGCACUUAACACACUGCCAUCGCCACCUGUUAGUGUUCCCGGCCUAUUAUUUCUGAUGGCUAAAUAAGGAAAACAAGGUAAUUUUGUGCUGCUCUUUCUUAUCAGGAAACUGGAGGUGGGGGAAGAAAGAGGGGUUGGGCUAUUUCCCCGGCCUUACUCGCAGGGUGGCCGUGGAGGAGACACCACCUGGGAGCUUGUUAGAAAAUCAGAAUCGUGGGCGCCGCCCAGACCGAAGGAAUUGGAGCGUGCACUUUUUAACAAGAUCCCCAGGUGAUUCGCAUGUACGUUCAGCCUGAGAAGCACGGCUUCCAGGAACACGGGGAGUCCACGACUCAGCAGGUCUCCUGGUUCCGCUGUGGGGCACUACAAAAAUCAGCCCACUUGUUCAGACAAACAAAUGAGAUCGUAUUAUGCAUUAAUACAUUUUAAUUGCUGUCCACCACCACAGUCUGCAGGCAAAUUCAAUCAAGAAGAAGAAAGCCUCCUAGGAAGAUGACGCUGCAUCGGGGAAAAUGAAGAUCUCUGAAAAGUGACAAUAUCUCAGAGUCUCAGCUUCCUUAUCUACAAAAUGGGAUAAUAGCUGCUGCGGGCUUAUCAAGACAUUGAAAUACGAUGAUUAUAUAAAGGGCAUGGUACGUGACAUUUCCCUUUUGCCUAGGAAAUGGCUGAAGACUUGAAGAAGAAGAAACUCUGGGGCAUGAACAUUUUAAGGACAGACAUGAAUGGACUCACAAGUGAAACUGAUGAGUGCCCCUGGAUUGGAGUGGCAUGUCAGGAUCCAUGCCUAUGCCAGAAAACCCAGUUCUUAGCACAAAUGGGCAAAGCAGGGUGUUACGAAUAAAUGAUCAGUGAGGUCCCACUGCCUAACUGAAGCUACUUCUCCAUGCUGCUCAUUUGAAUAUAAUUGUCCAUGAGGCAGCCCUGAACAGUAAUCAUGCCCUGCUCCCAAUAUUUCACACCGCUAUGUGUUUAAACAUGUAUACCCUUUCUCUGGAGUCAAGUGUCAGGAGUUGACACAGAAAACUGAAAAGGCAAGAGGAGGACAGGCCAAAGCCUCAGCGGGGCGUUUUCUGCAUAUCCUGUAAUUCCGGCUAAAAUCUGCACCAGGCCAUAACAUGAUUGAGCUCUCCCUUCUGGUCAAGCCAGUGCUUCUGCCUGCACGGGGCUGCUGCUGUGGGCUAACGGUGCCCUGUUGCUUUGGCAGGACUGCAGUCAUUUCAGUGCAGAAUGACAUUUCAGUGUUCCUUAAUCAGUCUCCCCCUUACAAAGCUCUCCCGUGCUUCCCCUCCACCUCACCGCCCCGGGAGCUCCCAUAUAAUAAGUUUGAAUUGUCUGCCUUUCAAAGCAGUGGACCCCUGAGGGGCCAGCACCACCUGUACUGUUUAUUCACACACUGGAAGCUGACUCUAAGGGACCGGAUCCGUUCAGGAUGCUCUGUCUCAUGGUGUUGACUUCUUGUUCUGGGCCCAGAUGUGCUUAAGGAGAACCUGGCUGAAGUUUCUCCUGCUUUGAGACUACCUGAGGAUGAAUUAGUGACGACAAGGGACAUUUUCUCCCGGCCCCACAAGGGACUGUUCCUUUGAAAGGUGUGCUGCUCACAAAAGCAACAGUUGUUAAUUCUGGGUGCUGGAUACACACCUGUUGACAUAUUAUUCUUUGCCCUCUUAUGUGUUAAAACACAGAAUGGUUCACAUUUAAAAGUUGUGUAAAA